GAUUAGCGGCAAACGGGUGAGUAACGCGUAGAUAACCUACCCUUAACACAAGGAUAACCCUCCGAAAGGUGGAUUAAUACUUGAUAGUCCUAUUUUACUUCGGUGUUUAUAGGUAAAGCUCCGGCGGUUAAGGAAGGGUCUGCGUCCUAUCAGCUAGUUGGUAAGGUAAUGGCUUACCAAGGCAAAGACGGGUAGCUGGUGUGAGAGCAUGUACAGCCACAAUGGGACUGAGACACGGCCCAUACUCCUACGGGAGGCAGCAAUCAGGAAUCUUGCGCAAUGGGGGCAACCCUGACGCAGCGACGCCGCGUGAAGGAUGAAGGUCUUCGGAUCGUAAACUUCUUUUAUGUGGGACGAAUGAAUGACGGUACCACAUGAAUAAGGACCUGCUAACUACCUGCCAGAAGCAUCGGUGAUGCGUAGGGUCCGAACAUUACCCGGUCUUACUGGGCGUAAAGAGAUGCGUAGGCGUUUUAGUCAGUCUAUAGCGAAAGACCAAUGCUCAACAUUGGAAGCGCUAUGGAAACAGCUAAAAUUGAGUAAUGUAGGGGUGAGUGGAAUUCUAAGUGGAGCAGUGAAAUGCGUUGAUAUUUAGAGGAACACCAGAGGCGAAGGCGGCUCACUGGACAUUUACUGACGCUAAGAGCUCGAAAGCGUGUGGAGCAAAACGGAUUAGAUACCCGUGUAGUCCACGCCGUAAACGAUGGAUGCUAGCUGUUUGGUACAACUGUACUUAACCUUCGGGUUUUUUAUGGGAGUACUGAGUGGCGCAGCUAACGCGUUAAGCAUCCCGCCUGUGAAGUACGGCCGCAAGGCUAAAACAUAAAUGAAUUGGCGGGGAACCGCACAAGCGGAGGAGCGUGUGGUUUAAUUCGAUGGUAAACGAAGAACCUUACCAGGACUUGACAUAUACCUGCAUACUUUUGGAAACAUUAGUAGCCUUCGAGGGUGGUAUACAGGUGCUGCAUGGCCGUCGUCAGCUCGUGUUGUGAAACGUAGGGUUAAGUCCCGUAACGAGCGCAACCCCUAUCCCGUGUUACAAGUGUCUCGGGAAACUGCAGUGGUAAAACGCUGAGGAAGGUGGGGACGACGUCUGGUCCUCAUGGCCCUUAUGUCCUGGGCUACACACGCGCUACAAUGGUCGGUACAACGGGAAGCCAAACCGCAAGGUGGAGCUAAUCCCAUAAAACCGAUCUCAGUCCGGAUUGCAGGCUGAAACUCGCCUGCAUGAAGUUGGAUUCGCUAGUAAUCGCAGAUCAGCAAGCUGCGGUGAAUACGUUCUCGGUUCUUGCACACACCGCCCGUCACGGCAUGGAAGUAGGUAAUACCCGAAGGCG
rnacentral:rRNA from 1 species